UACGGAAAAAGUGCUUAGCUGCAUUUUUUCUUACACAUGUGUUUUUCUUUUUUUGAAAACUUUGCUUUGGUAGGCCUUCUAUAUGGGGCCUGCCAGAGAUUAAACUCAACCAAAUUUUAUUUAAUGUCAACCGAUUAUUUAAUAGUCAAAACUUUCAACAACGGAUCUCUUGGUUCUCGCAUCGAUGAAGAACGCAGCGAAAUGCGAUAAGUAAUAUGAAUUGCAGAUAUUCGUGAAUCAUCGAAUCUUUGAACGCACAUUGCGCCCUUUGGUAUUCCAAAGGGCAUGCCUGUUUGAGCGUCAUUUCUCCCUCAAACCCUCGGGUUUGGUGUUGAGCGAUACGCUGGGUUUGCUUGAAAGAAAGGCGGAGUAUAAACUAAUGGAUAGGUUUUUUCCACUCAUUGGUACAAACUCCAAAACUUCUUCCAAAUUCGACCUCAAAUCAGGUAGGACUACCCGCUGAACUUAAGCAUAUCAAUAAGCGGAGGAA
rnacentral:rRNA from 1 species